GAUGAACGCUGGCGGCGUGCUUAACACAUGCAAGUCGAGCGAGAAGUUUUGAAAAGAUUCUUCGGAUGCAAUUUAAAAUGGAAAGCGGCGGACGGGUGAGUAACGCGUAGGCAACCUGCCCCAUACAAAGGGAUAGCAUUUGGAAACGAAUAUUAAUACCUUAUGAAACUUAACUAGUGCAUGCUAGGUAGGUCAAAGAUUUAUCGGUAUGGGAUGGGCCUGCGUCUGAUUAGCUAGUUGGUGAGGUAACGGCUCGCCAAGGCGACGAUCAGUAGCCGACCGGAGAGGGUGAACGGCCACAUUGGAACUGAGACACGGUCCAAACUCCUACGGGAGGCAGCAGUGGGGAAUAUUGCACAAUGGGGGAAACCCUGAUGCAGCAACGCCGCGUGAACGAGGAAGGCCUUUGGGUCGUAAAGUUCUGUUCUAGGUGAUGAAAACUGACAGUAACCUAGGAGAAAGCCCCGGCUAACUCCGUG
rnacentral:rRNA from 1 species